ACCAUAGAGCGUUGGAACCACCUGAUCCCAUCCCGAACUCAGCAGUGAAACGAUGCAUCGCCGAUGGUAGUGUGGGGUUUCCCCAUGUGAGAGUAGGUCAUCGUC
rnacentral:rRNA from 1 species